UGGCUUAGUGGUAGAGUGCUUGCCUUGCAUGCAUGAGGCCCUGGGUUCGAUUCCUCAG
rfam:Dipodomys ordii contig_30111, whole genome shotgun sequence.